AUGAACGCUGGCGGCGUGCUUAACACAUGCAAGUCGAACGGGAUCCAAGGGGUGCUUGCACUUUUUGGUGAGAGUGGCGAACGGGUGAGUAACACGUGAGUAACCUGUCCUUUUCUUUGGGAUAAGCAUUCGAAAGGGUGUUUAAUACCUUAUGUUCUGUCUGCCUCGCAUGGGGUGGGUGGGAAAGGCUUUGGCCGGAUUUGGGUGGGCUCGCGGUCUAUCAGCUUGUUGGUGGGGUGAUGGCUUACCAAGGCUUUGACGGGUAGCCGGCCUGAGAGGGUGGUCGGUCACAUUGCGACUGAGAUACGGCCCAGACUCCUGCGGGAGGCAGCAGUGGGGGAUAUUGCACAAUGGGCGAAAGCCUGAUGCAGCGACGCCGCGUGGGGGAUGAAGGCCUUCGGGUUGUAAACUUCUUUUGCUCUGAACAAGGCAUGCCAGUGGGUGUGUUGAGUGUAGGGGUUGAUUAGCGCCGGCUAACUACGUG
rnacentral:rRNA from 1 species